GAAAGAAGACUACAUUUCUCCUUGAACGGAAAUAACUGACAUUAAAACACGUAAACGUCCCUCAUUAGCGACAGCGUUCUGGAUGUCGCCGCCAUCGCGUGGAAAUCAGAAAAAUAAGAUGAUAAAAGAAGCUGCAAGGGAACAGGCUUCCUCCGGCCCCAUACUAGAUCUACCCCACUGGAUUCACACUCAUCGCUGAAGUUUUCCACUCCGCUCGCACUCUUCCUGACCGAAACGUCCAUCAUGCAGAGACUCCAAUAUGCUAAACAAGAGGCAGCUAUAAUGCAGAAGUACCUCCA